rnacentral:rRNA from 1 species
UACAGAGGUGGCAAGCGUUGUUCGGAAUUACUGGGCGUAAAGGGCGCGUAGGCGGCCAUCUAAGUCAGACGUGAAAUCCCCCGGCUUAACCUGGGAACUGCGUCUGAUACUGGACGGCUUGAGUAUGGGAGAGGGAUGUAGAAUUCCAGGUGUAGCGGUGAAAUGCGUAGAUAUCUGGAGGAAUACCGGUGGCGAAGGCGGCAUCCUGGACCAUUACUGACGCUGAUGCGCGAAAGCUAGGGGAGCAAACGGG